AGUGAACGCUGGCGGUGGGCCUAACACAUGCAAGUCGAACGGCAGCACAGUAAGAGCUUGCUCUUACGGGUGGCGAGUGGCGGACGGGUGAGGAAUACAUCGGAAUCUACUUUUUCGUGGGGGAUAACGUAGGGAAACUUACGCUAAUACCGCAUACGACCUACGGGUGAAAGCAGGGGAUCUUCGGACCUUGCGCGAUUGAAUGAGCCGAUGUCGGAUUAGCUAGUUGGCGGGGUAAAGGCCCACCAAGGCGACGAUCCGUAGCUGGUCUGAGAGGAUGAUCAGCCACACUGGAACUGAGACACGGUCCAGACUCCUACGGGAGGCAGCAGUGGGGAAUAUUGGACAAUGGGCGCAAGCCUGAUCCAGCCAUACCGCGUGGGUGAAGAAGGCCUUCGGGUUGUAAAGCCCUUUUGUUGGGAAAGAAAAGCAGCAGGUUAAUACCCCGCUGUUCUGACGGUACCAAAAGAAUAAGCACCGGCUAACUUCGUG
rnacentral:rRNA from 1 species